GACGAACGCUGGCGGCGUGCCUAAUACAUGCAAGUCGAACGCUUCUUCUUUCACCGGAGCUUGCUCCACCGAAAGAAGAAGAGUGGCGAACGGGUGAGUAACGCGUGGGUAACCUACCUCUUAGCGGGGGACAACUAUUGGAAACGAUAGCUAAUACCGCAUAAUAAUUUUUAACACAUGUUAGGAAUUUGAAAGUACCAACUGGUACACUAAGAGAUGGACCCGCGUUGUAUUAGCUAGUUGGUAGUGUAAUGGACUACCAAGGCGAUGAUACAUAGCCGACCUGAGAGGGUGAUCGGCCACAUUGGGACUGAGACACGGCCCAAACUCCUACGGGAGGCAGCAGUAGGGAAUCUUCGGCAAUGGACGAAAGUCUGACCGAGCAACGCCGCGUGAGUGAAGAAGGUUUUCGGAUCGUAAAACUCUGUUGUUAGAGAAGAACGUCAGUGAGAGUGGAAAGUUCACUGAGUGACGGUAUCUAACCAGAAAGGGACGGCUAACUACGUGCCAGCCGCCGCGGUAACAC
rnacentral:rRNA from 1 species